rnacentral:tRNA from 1 species
GAAGGUAUAGCUCAAAGUGGUGGAGCACGUGCUUAGCAUGCACAAGGUCCUGGGUUCAAUCCUCAGGACCUCCU